GGGGCCUGACACAAAACCUAUCUAAACUGUGGGAUUCCCGUCCACCUGGUGGACGGGAAAUCUGAUUGGUUGAUCAGCAUCAUGAAGGAUUUUGAUUGGUUGCAAGUUUACAUAAACAACAGUUUUAAAAAUAGCUCGGUCAAGGCGACAAUUAAUAUAAAGGUCAAACGCACGUACAAAUUCCAUUAUCGAUUUCUUCAAAUUUCUUUUUCUUUUAUGCUUUAUGGCAGAAAAUAAAUCAAACAAACAGUAUUUUGAAAGGGCUUUAUCAAAAUCUUUGACGAAUUUUGGACACACGACGCUGAAAGAACAGCCAAACUAGUCAUGUAUUCGAAAGCUUGUUGUUGAC
rnacentral:lncRNA from 1 species